ACACUGGGGCAGCUGCUGACAGGGCCUGGUUCUCUGUGACGCCAAAGGGUAAAACUAAGUGGAAUAUGUGAAAGCAACACAGAUGUAGACACUGGAUUGCAGCCUCACAGGGAGAAAAGGAUCUUCUAGGGCUUCCAGCCCCAUCGUAAGGUGAGUUGUGGAAUAAUAUUGUAGGUGCAUGGCCUGCUUUUUUUCCAUCCACUGCACAGGAUGAACAACUCAGGUGCCAGUGCUCUGAGCAGGGGGAAGACCCUGCUUUCCUUUGCAGAAAACAGCCACACAGAGGCCUAGACAAGUGCCAGCACAGGAAGGCAGCACAGGGCUGACACCUAUCCCCCAACCCAACUUCAGGCAUUUGUGUCUCAUGAACCCACAGAUCCUCAUAAGACCCUGUUGAGCUGGGAUUAUUGUGGGUCUACUAUAGAUUGGGAACAUAAUCCCAGAGAGGACCACUGAUCUCUGCCGGGGCACACAUGUGUGUGUGUUGGUGUGGGCAGAGCGGGGUGUGGACUCCAGGCCCCCUGGGGCUCACCUGCAUGACUACAGCAGGUUUCACUCCAAGCCACCCUAGGGUUUGUAAAAUCCCCUCCCUGAGCCACAGGCUUGGCUUUGCAGUGGGGUUCACCUCUGCUGCUUUCCUUCUCAGAAACAUGUUUGAUCCCACAUUGCCCUCUUGCUCCACAGUGGUUGCUAAGACAAAAUGGGUAGAUCACAUCUAAAGCAGAUCAGCCUUGAGCUGAGACUGCAUCAGCCAUGAUGCUCCCCCCCCCAGCCAAUUUCCUGUGCUGGGGCUGGGGGUCAUUUCAAACUCUCAACCAGAUUUGCGAUGAGACUCUGCCUCCAAGGGCAUGUCUUGGGGCAUGAGUUAGGGAAGUGGUGGAAAUGGACAUGUGGCAGAGCCCCCCCACCUGCCCCGCCACCUUGUUAUAUGGAUCCCCCACCUGCCUGAAAUCCCACCACUAAAGCCACUCCUUUGUAUCAUUUCUCCUGAGAGUCUCGGAGAAUUGAAACACAUCAAUUAACUCAGCCAUGAGCCCCACGUCAUAGCUAUGAACUGCUUUGAAGUUUAUAAUAUGAUAUCUUAUCUAAAAAAGUUUGUUGGUCAGGCACAUCUGUAAUCCCAGCUACUUGAGAGGCUGAGGCAGGAAGACCACAAGUUCAAGCCCAACCUAGGCAAUUUAGCAAGCCCGUCUCAGAAUAAAACAUAAGAAGGAGCUGAGGAUGUAGCUCAGUGGUAGAGAACUUAAGUAGUAUGCUCAAGGCCCUGAGUUGAAUCCCCAACAUUGAAAAAUAGAAGUUUCAAAAUUUCUAAUUAACACAUAAUAAUUGUACAUAUUCAUGGGGUACAAUGUGAUAUUUUGGCACAUGUAUAUAAUGUGCAGCGAUCUAAUCAGGAAAAACAGCAUCUCCACCUCAAAAAUUUAUCAUUUCUUUGUGUCAGAAACAUUCAAAAUCCUUUCUUCUAGCUAUUUUGAAUACAUAAUAAAUUAUUAAAUUUAGUCACCCUACUGUGCUAUGAUGGAACACUAGAAUUUAAUCCUAUUUAACUGUCCUUUUGUAUCUGUUAAUCAACUUUUCUCCACUCUCUCCUCCUCCCAGACUCUGGAAACCACUAUUCUACUAUGAAAUCAACUCUUCACUUCCUCAUCUGGGUAAGAACAUGGCGGUGUCUUUCUGUGCCUGACUUAUUUCACGUUAAAUGAUGUCCUCCAGUUCCAUCCAUGUAGCCACAAAUGACAGGAUUUCAUUCAAUUUUUUAAAAAUAUUUAUUUUUUAGUUUUAGGUGGACACAAUAUCUUUAUUUUACAUUUAUGUAGUGCUGAGGAUCGAACCCAGUGCCUCAUGCAUGCUAGGUGAGCGCUCUACCACUGAGCCACAACCCCAGCCCCUCAUUCACUUUUAACAACAUUACAUUGUGUAUAUAUUCUCCAUUUCUUUAUCCACUCAUCUGUCAAUAGACGCAGGUUGAUUCCACAUCUUGGCUGUUGUGAAUAGGGCUACAGUAAACAAGGGAGUGCAGAUAUCUCUUGGACAGACUGAUUGCCUUUCCUGGAUGUAUACCCCGUCGUGGGACUGCUGGAUCAUAUGAUGUUCCUAUAUUUAAUUCUUUGAGGAACCUCCAUGCUGUUUUCCGUAGUGACUGUUCUGAUUUCCAUUCCCACCCACACUAUAUGAGAGUUCCUCUUUCACCACAUCCCUGCCAGCAUUUGUUGUUUCUCUCUCUCUCUCUCUCUCUAAAUGGUGCUGGAGAUUGAACCCAGGGCCUUGUGCAUAUGAGGCAAGCACUCUACUAACUGAGCCAUAUCCCCAGCCCUCUAUUUUUGAUGGUAGCCAUUCUAACUUGGGUGAGAUAAUAUCUCAUUGUGGUUAAAAAUAUUUUUGAUCCUCUUAACAGCUAUGAGAGGUAGGGCAGCAAUUUCAGCAUGUCCAUGAAAUAGAUGAGGUCAUUCCUCAGAGAGGCUCACAGAGGUGGAGUGGCCUUCCAUUUGAAUAUAGGUCUUUCUGCUCCUGAUUCUAUACACCUCUGAUAACUGGGAGUUGCCUUGGGGAGCAGAGGUCAAAGGGACACAAAACUGGCAGGUUUGGUAGGAAAGUGAAAGGGGUGAGGGAACAGUUUCUGGAACAGGGGAGUUGGGUCAUCUGUCAGAGCUUGACCAAAGGGGAGCAUGAGUCCCCAGAGCCUUGAAGGUCUUGGCAGGGAAAAGGGUGGCCUGAGCUCUGAGGAGUCAGAGGCUGAGUUCUGGUUGGGCCUGUUCAGAAGCUGAAGCCAGAGCUGGAAGAGCUGGAGGGAUCUCUUCUCUAGGCUCUGUCUGCCCUCUGGGCUCUGUGAACCUCUCAGCUCUGCUGCCUCUGGCGUGCAGGGUCUCUAGUGAGUCUGUCAGCCCUGACCUAGUCACGGGGUUAACAACUGUGCUUCUCAUGUGACCUUGGAUGAGUCAAGAGGGAAAGCAGGGGGGCUGGGGUUGUGGCUCAGUGGUAGAACGCUUUGCUUUGCAUGUGCGAGGCACUGGGUUCGUUCUCCAGCACCACCACAUAAAAAUAACUAAAUAAACAAAAUAAAGGUCUCGUGUCCAUCUACGACUAAAAGUAUUUAAGAGAGGGGGGGGGGAAGCAGUUGCCAAGGGCUUUCUGGGGGGAUUCCCAGGAUGCAGGCAGUUCAAGGCUCUAGGGGACAAAGGCCUUCGGGUGUUCUGGAGGCUGGGCCUCCACAGGACUCAACUGUGAAGCCACCUUCUUGCCUGGAUCGUGGGCCACUUAAAAUAACCUCAGACCUAACACUAUUUUUCUCCUGCUGAGUGGCUUCAGUGUGAGAGGAGCACAAAGGCCAUUGGUGGUGGGGAAAGGCCUGGUUCAGUGCCAAGCAGCACAACCACAGCAGGAACCCAGGCCUUAGGCAGACUGGCCACCAUUUCCUGAGACCUAGUACCUGCUCUGGGCACUUUGUUUAUUUAUAUACUUACUUAGAUUUUGAAAUCUAUUUUUGGUACAAUUAUAUACAUAUGCUAUAAAAUAAAAGAUAGAACUAGACCAGGAG
rnacentral:lncRNA from 1 species